rnacentral:rRNA from 1 species
GAUGAACGCUGGCGGCGUGCCUAAUACAUGCAAGUCGAGCGAACAGACGAGGAGCUUGCUUCUCUGACGUUAGCGGCGGACGGGUGAGUAACACGUGGAUAACCUACCUAUCAGACUGGGAUAACUUCGGGAAACCGGAGCUAAUACCGGAUAAUAUAUUGAACCGCAUGGUUCAAUAGUGAAAGACGGUUUUGCUGUCACUUAUAGAUGGAUCCGCGCCGCAUUAGCUAGUUGGUAAGGUAACGGCUUACCAAGGCAACGAUGCGUAGCCGACCUGAGAGGGUGAUCGGCCACACUGGAACUGAGACACGGUCCAGACGCCUACGGGAGGCAGCAGUAGGGAAUCUUCCGCAAUGGGCGAAAGCCUGACGGAGCAACGCCGCGUGAGUGAUGAAGGUCUUCGGAGCGUAAAACUCUGUUAUUAGGGAAGAACAGAUGUGUAAGUAACUAUGCACGUCUUGACGGUACCUAAUCAGAAAGCCACGGCUAACUACGUG